CAAUAGCGUAUAUUAAAGUUGUUGCAGUUAAAAAGCUCGUAGUCGGAUUUUGGCAUCACGCCGAACUGUCAGCCGAUUGGUUUGUACGGUUUGGCGGGUGCUCUCCUUCCGGAAGCUCGUUCCCUUCUUAGUUGACGGGUUCGAUGGUUCCGGGUCUUUUACUUUGAAAAAAUUAGAGUGUUCAAAGCAGGCCUAUGCUCUGAAUAGGUUAGCAUGGAAUAAUAGAAUAGGACUUUGGUUCUAUUUUGUUGGUUUCUAGGACCGAAGUAAUGAUUAAUAGGGACAGUUGGGGGCAUUCAUAUUCCAAUGUCAGAGGUGAAAUUCUUGGAUUAUCGGAAGAUGAACUUCUGCGAAAGCAUCUGCCAAGGAUGUUUUCAUUG
rnacentral:rRNA from 1 species